rnacentral:tRNA from 1 species
UGCUGGUUAGCGCAGUUGGUAGAGCACUCCACUGGAUAUGGAGAGAGAUUCCUGGUUCAAUGCCGAGACCAGGAG